UACGAAGGGGGCUAGCGUUGUUCGGAAUCACUGGGCGUAAAGGGCGCGUAGGCGGCUUUAUAAGUCGGGGGUGAAAUCCUGGAGCUCAACUCCAGAACUGCCUUCGAUACUGGCGAUCUCGAGUUCGGGAGAGGUGAGUGGAACUGCGAGUGUAGAGGUGAAAUUCGUAGAUAUUCGCAAGAACACCAGUGGCGAAGGCGGCUCACUGGCCCGAUACUGACGCUGAGGUGCGAAAG
rnacentral:rRNA from 1 species